CGGGCCGCGGCCCUCAGCAUCCCGAGGCGGCGCCGGCGUGUGCCUCCGAGGCGCCUUCGCACCCUGGAUGUGCCGCUGGUUCCUACCCGGGCCCAGAAGAGCCGUGUGUGCCGUGAGCGUCCUCAAAGGGAGAACAAACCCUGACAGGCAUAGACUUGUUUCAGCCCAGCAUGCGAAUUGGGGCUGGCAAAGAGAGACUUACAGAAGCCAGAUUUGGUCUUAAAUGUCCUUAUUGGAAGAGGGAAGUUUGAAAACUACAGUCUUGCUGGCUUUACUUCUUGAGUUUUCCAGUUGCUGCUGCUGGCAAAACAGAAUACGACCCUGCUCCAAGAUGACCAAAGUAACUCUGGAAAGGUAUGUGAUGACUUCUGUAUGAAAAGCUUCCCCGGUGAUGUUAAGUUUCCGCAGUGUCCACAAAGGCUGUGACCCAGGCCUGCCUUCCCUGCUCUAAAAGAGGCUUUGCCUUAACGUGAAACCUAUGCUACAGAGGGGUUCUCCUGAACGCUUACAGGGUCCUGGUCAGGAGUUGAAAAUAAGGAAAAGAGAGGAAGAAAACCACAAAGAAAGAGGCAUAUGAAAAGUAAAAAAUAUGGAGCUGGAGGUGAACCUAAACACUCAGAGCCGAGGGCCUGGAUUACCAAGUACCCUCUGAGCCUGAAGGUACAAGAUACUUCUGAAGUCUCAAGGCAAUGUAAUUAGUGAGCUAUGAGGGGAGACGGAGCCCAGUUAAAACUGUCAGCCACUACUGGAAGUUUUCCGUGAAGCCGUGCUGAACCUGCAGCAUGCAAGGCAGAAAAGCCAUGAAAAGUCCAGUCCUGCU